CCCUUAGACGUUCUGGGCCGCACGCGCGCUACACUGACAAAGGCAACGAGCUACUCUUCACCGAAAGGUGUGGGUAAUCUUUUGAAACUUUGUCGUGCUGGGGAUAGAUCCUUGCAAUUUUUGAUCUUAAACGAGGAAUUCCUAGUAAGCGCAAGUCAUCAACUUGCGUUGAUUACGUCCCUGCCCUUUGUACACACCGCCCGUCGCACCUACCGAUUGGAUGGUCCGGUGAAGCCUCGGGAUUGUGGUUCUUGCCGCUUUAUUGUGGCGUGACCGCGAGAACUUGUCUAAACCUUAUCAUCUAGAGGAAGGUGAAGUCGUAACA
rnacentral:rRNA from 1 species